GUUUAUCGUAUAAAUAUGGGUGCACAGUAGAAUGACUAAUAAUGGUUUAACUAUAAUAAACUUUUGAUAUAUCUAAAAAGGGUCAAGAUUGCUAUACGCAAGUCAGCAAAGAUAUUAUUUGUCACGGUACACCUGCUUUAUGUCUACAUAAGACUCAUGAGAUGCAGUCGAAUCAAAGCUAUUGAAGGACUUAUUGAAUAAACUUGCAGAACAUUGAAAUGCCGAAAACCGGGAUAAAGUGUAUGGUGUAAGAGGGCUCAUAUACGAUGAUAAAAUGAGAAACAUUUAAAGACAGUUACACAAAUGAUAGAGAGAAAAAACAGACUGUAAAGAAUAGCAGUGGCAAUUAUAUAACAUAAGUGUUUAUAUGAGUGUCAAAUGCUUCGUUCAGCACAUUGCGUGAUUUCGUGGCGGUUCGUUUUUACUAUUGGUGAAGCGGGAGUGUCCGGAAAGAACAACCAACAUUCGGUUGGAAAACUGACGACCCUAAUCAGAAAAGAUUUGUGUCGAUUUUAAAAACAAGAUAUAUAUUACAGUAUUUGGAUACAAAAUAGCAGAUCAGAGGUAUUAUGGUUUUAACUUUUUUUGACAUUUUUAGGGUUUUUCAUUUACAAACCAUGCUAUCUUUUAGAGCAAACACUAAAGUGCUGAGAUUUCAAUGAAUGUUUAGAAUUACGAAGGGUUCUGAUUGAAAGCAGAAUGAUUUCUGAAAGUGUACUAUUUAUAGAUUCAAAGAAAUUGAUAUAAUAGAAUG